AUGGGUGGCAAGGUUCUUCUGAUCAGUGCCGUCUUGGUGGGGCUUGUUUCACUGAGCUCGUGCAGGAGCCUGGGAGAGUUGCAUGAGCAGAAGACCCACUAUGGGGGCUCACCAACUCCCACGCAUGGGUCAGGAGGAGGCUACAAUCCGACACCGACACCAACUUACGGCACUACACCGACGCCAUCUUACGGCACUACACCGACGCCAACUUACGGCACUACACCGACGCCAUCUUACGGCACUACACCGACGCCAUCUUACGGCACUACACCGAGCACCCCAAGUACACCUUCCCAUGAUGUCCCUGCAAGUCCAAAGAAGCAUGGGUUCAUUGGAUCCUGCGACUACUGGAAGAAUCACCCAGAUGCUAUAGUUGCAGCUAUUGGGUCCCUUGGCAACAUCGGCAAGACAUUUGGUGCUGCAUGCAGUAUGAUAGGUGGCAAGAAGCUAGGAAAUAUGCAUGAUGCACUCUCAAACACUAGAACUGAUGGUAUUGGCGCCCUGAUACGUGAGGGGGCAGCUGCAUACCUCAACUCCAUUGUGAACAAGAAGUUCCCAUUUACCACCCAGCAGGUGAAGGACUGCAUCGUCGUGGCCGUGACCUCUGAUGGUGCUGCUUCUGCCCAAGCUGGGGUCUUCAAGAAGGCAAAUGAAUUCCACUACUAA
rnacentral:rRNA from 1 species